rnacentral:lncRNA from 1 species
UGCUGCACUGCUGCGGAUGAGGGAAGGAUGGUGUCGGGGCUUCAAGACUGUUUUUCCUACCUCUUCAGUGCCUCUUUCAGUGAUAUGAAGUUAAAACCAGGAACAUGGAGGAGACAUAUUUCCACCUAUUUCUCUCCAUAAGUAUAAAAGACCAUAAAAGACCAUCUAGGGACUUCAGAACCCAAAUAAUGACACAAUGGUUCUGAAGCAACACUGUAACUGCUGAAUGCUUCUGGCUGCUUCUUUCCACAGUAAAAGCUCUGCAGACAUCUCCCGUGGCCCCUGGUCAUCACACAGGAGAGUGACUACCAUUACCUCAGCACCUUCACUGUCUCCAUCCACUGUGCCUGCUCACUCUCCCAAGGGUCCACCCGGAUCCAGUCGGAUGUCUGCAGGGCCAGCCGGGCCAUGGCCACUCGGUGAUGAGAAGCUGCGAGGUCUUUCUUCCCAUAGGUGUCGUUGACAGGAGAGAUGAUACCCUGGAUGACCUGGUACAUUCCUAGGUAAGAGAGAGCAGUGGUGUUGCACAUACAGACAGA